AAUCACAGACGAGGAAACGAGACAAAGCGCAGAACCAAAACAUACAAACAGAGAUGUUACUUUUUUCCUGGAAUUCGCUUACUGUUUUCAUUUUUACCCCCGCUCUUUAUAUUUACCCCCGCUCUUUAUAUUUACCCCCGCUCUUUAUAUUUACCUCCGCUCUUUAUAUUUACCUCCGCUCUUUAUAUUUUCCUCGCGCUUUACAUUUUCUUCACUGUUUACAAUGGCUAGCCAAGGAACUGAAGAGGGAGAGGCGGCUGCACAGUCCUAAAAUCACGGAGGCAGUCCGUCCGCUACACACCUCUGAGACAAACUGUAGGCACUAUGACCCGGAGCAUGGGUAUGGAUGAAAGAUCUGGGCUAACAUGAAUAGGAGCACUGUCCAUAAGCCCGGAAUUGCGUGAUGAAGGCCUGGAUAAAAAUGACUUUGUUGUUGCCUGCAAGACAUACUACGAGACCGUGCGUAGAAAUUUCCGGUACAGCCAGCCAGAGCUUGCAAAUGUGGCUGCAGCUAAUAAGACCUCAGCCCGGAGUCGCCAGAGGAGGAAGAGGCUUAUUAUAUGUAACAGUUGUGUUUUCAGCUCUUGGAGGUGAGGCAAAGUGUACUGGCUGCAGAUGAAGUGGACUUCUGGAGGGGAAUCACCGCUGACAUGAUGUCAGAUGAAGAAGACAGUGCUGUUGAUGGAGUCUCAGGGUGGAUUGUGAGACCUCCAUCGUUCCGCAGCCAGGAGCUCAGCAAUCUGUGUGCUAUGCUGCAGGAGAGACUAGUAGCCAGUUACGACCCCAAGGCAGCAAAAAGACAUUUGAUGCCAAACGUGAUGCCAUCAAAAUAAUCUCUGGCUACUUUUUGCAGGUCUUCCAUAGCAGCCUAAGCAUUAGUAUCCUGAGGGAUGUAUGCUGCAGUCACAACAAUGGCUGAGAAUUCUGUUGGUAGAUAAAAGGGUCUGCAAUUAAUCAUCAAAUACUCCAGAUGAGCUGAGCAAUGACUUUCAAUUACAGUCUGUGCACCAUGAUUUGUUGACCUCCACCCUUGUGCUUACCAGAGUCCACUGCUGACCUGUCUGCCCGGAAAGGUUGCAUCCCUCUAGCUCAAUGACGUGCUGGGAAUGUUGUUGUUAAGCCAUGUUUCUGUAAAAAUCAUAUUACAUUCCUUGAUCCGUUUUUGCAUUGAUAGGCGCAGUUCGUCCAUUUUAUUCAACAGAGAUCGUACAUUUGCAAGAAAGAUGCUUUGGAGAGAUGUUUGAUGAGGGUUUAGUUUCAGCCUUGCUCUAAGGCUGUCAUGCUUCCCACGUCUUUGUUUAUGCUCAUGGCGCAGGCACUGCAAUCUCUCUGCCAGAUCUGUAAAUUAUCAUUUAACCAGUUAUGACCGAUGUCCAACAAUGCUUGUUGGCUAUAUGAGAUAUAUACAAGGCUAUUCUGAGUGAAUAAACUUGCAACUAGUAGAGAAAUAACUAAACAAUCGCAAAAUCUGAGGAGACGCUGAGCCUCGCGUUGUUGAGAGUGUGAGAGUCUUGAGAGUGUGAUUAUAAAUUAUUGUGAUAAUCUUGAGAAUGUGAUAUUGAAUAAUAUCCUUUCUGCAGUCAGAUAGUCAGUUGGAGUUGUGUGAUGCAGAUACAGCAUAUGUAGAACAUUUUGAGUAUUGAUUAGGAGGUUCUUGUUCCCAAAGUCCACAUGGAGUUGGCAUCUUCUCUUCAAUUGUCCGAAAUCUUCAUGAAGCAGAAUCCAACUGGAGCUAGUCCAUCUCUGGAUAUCUUGGGACACUCGCAGGGUUGGCCUCUUCUCACCAAAGGUCCGAAAUCUUCAUGAAGCGGAACACAACUAGAGCUGGUACAAUCUCUAGAUGCCUUAGGAUAGGUAGACAAAGAAAAAUGAAAGUGGAAAUGAAUUAGCAUGUAAGGUAGAAUUUUACUGUGUCAUCUCUGGCCCAAGCUUGACCGAUUUCUGCAAAGGAACAGGGCAGGUCAGUUUGGUGGUGGGUGAUGACAUUCAAGCAAGGUGCUACAUCUAUGGAGGUGGGUGAUGAUGGCCUUUGACAAGGCAUCCAGUCCAUUGUUGAGACAAACCUUCCUAUAGCACAUUUUAAUGGUGUAGGAAAACAUAUUCUGAGGUCACUCUAGAAUCUACUGUAACAUACAUUUCUCUUUGAAUAAUAAUUACAUAUCCCAGCUCUCACCAGCAAAUGGUAAUCAAAUCGGGCAAUGAUCAGGAACUGAGAACUAGCCUACAGUUGGGGGGGCCAAUCUGAGGAUCUUUCUCCCGUUCAAUGCUUUGUUUAAGAGUAUCACCUUUAAGCUUUUGCAUUAGCAUACUAGGGAGUCGACACCUGUGAGGUCUACCUCCCCUUGGGGAAGUAUCACCUCAAGGCUUUUGUAUUGUCACACCUUCAAGGCCUGCCUACUCAAGGCCUUUAAAACUGUAACGCAAGUUUCUUUUCACUGGACUUGGUGACUACAGUACCACCGCAGUGUUCCUGCUGAACACUACUUCUGAGUCUGCUUAGGUGAAUUCACAAUGGUAAACUGCUGCAGAUGCAGGGUCACACCUACCACGUUAGGUGUGAGAAGGUCUUUGGGCAGUUGAACAUAUGGUAGGUAAAGACCUCAAACUCAACUCCUUCCAGGAAAUUCCUCCAUUUUUCUACAGCCCAGACCACAGCCAGAUAUUCAUUUUCUGAGAUAGAAUAAUUAAGCUCAGCCCCUUUUAUUAUGAUGCAUAUGCAUUAGCCUUCUUUCCUUCCUAAGAUUCUUGAGUUAAAAUGGCCACUAGUCCCAGCUUACUGGCAUUGGUAUGAACCUAGAAAAGUACUGGUGGGUUUUGCAGUGUUGCCUUCAGUGCUUCAAAACUGGCCUGACAUUCGGGUGUCCACUCCCAUUUCGCUUAUUUCCUUUUUAAGUGAUUCAGAGGUGCAGCUUGGUUGGCAAAACACAGACUGAAUUUAUGAUAUCAUCCUGCCAACCCUAAAAAGCUCUUCUGGGAUGUCUGUUGCUGUCAAAUAUUCUGCAACUACUUCCCAGCAUUUACUUAUCUGCUGCUGCUGAAGUUGGGGUCUCCUGUGGCCUAGCUUGUUUAUUAGGCUCCCUUAAAAUGCAGUUCUGUAUCAGUGUAUAUAAACUGCCAGUGCCAAUAAUUGCUCUCAUUCCUUCCCUAGAGACAUUCAGUGGUACUAGGAUGAGGAACAGUGUACGGAUAUCAGUGCUGUAAGGUUGUGUAAUUGACCAUUCCUGAUAGGUGUUUUGUGAAAGUAAUCUGGUGCAACAGCAUAUGUAUGGACUGAACACAUUUCUUUAGCUGUCACAUUUUCAUGACAUAACUGGCUCAAAGUCCUCGCAAUAUCAUUAGCACAUUACCAAAUGCAGGAGUGAGAGAGACAUGGCAUGUGCACUUAUUAAAAUAAUUACGCACACAGAUAAAUUAUUAUAUAUGCAAACAUUAUGUGGCAGUGCUACACACUCAGACAACGAAAAGGAAAAUUUGAAUGAUCUUUAAACUUCUCCCACACAGUUUAAGGGCGCUGUAAUUUUUUCUCUCACAAUUACCCCAGAAGUUUCUAUUGAGUUCAGAAACCUGCAUCUCACUUUUGGCAUCUUGCCAAAUUCAUCCAUUUUCAUCACAGAAUUCCCUGCACCUUAACCUACUAAAAACAUAUUGUCUUUUCCUUUUACAUUUAAUGUGUACAUUGGCAUGUAUUUAAAGUCAUGUGCUUUAGUUCUUCAUCUUGAGUCUAUUCUCAUCUGGUAAGAUAGGAUUCUGACUUUUGUGUAGUACAAGUUUAACUUGGUUAGUUGUGUUAUUUGAACUGUGUUAUAUUGUAUAGCUUGUUGAUUCUAUAGUGUUGGUCUAUGUUUCUGUAGGUUCUCUACUUUGAAGGUAGCUCUGUCAAGACCUGUUUACUACUUAAAUAACACAGGUACACUCAUCCAUGAAGCAGAGGUCACAUAUCCAGCAAUUUCAUCUACCCUCCUCUGUUGUCUCAGUCUCAAAUGGUGGUGGUAGGUGGGCUCUGGAAUUGCCAGUCUGCUGUAAGGAAGGCUGAUUUCAUCUCAGCACUAUUCCUUCUUCCGCCCACUUCUGCCCCAACUUCAUCUAUAUUACACAGCCAGGACUCCCAUACUCCUUCAUUUAACUCCUUCAUCUCAACCAUAACAGCAGAAGAGGUUUUGCAAAUCAUCCAGUCCUGCAAUCCUACCAUCUGCCCACUAGAUCCAAUCUCUUCCACUAUGCUCUAGACCAUCUUGCUUGAGCUCCUGCCCUUCAUCACCCCAAUCAUCAAUGGAUUCAUAGCAUCAUGUACCAACUGCCUUCAAGAAAGCAAGGGUUAUCCCCAUACUUAAGAAACCUGCUAUGGAUCCCUCAGACAUCAGCAACUAAACACUGGUAUCAUUCUCUCAUUUCUUUCUAAAAUUCUUGAACGCAUUGUUUAUAAUCAGCUAUCUCCUGCAGAACAACCUCCAUGAUCCCGACCAGUCUAGCUUCAAAGCAGCACAUUCCACAGAGACUGCACUUUUGGCUGUCACUUAGAAAAUGCCAUGGCUUCUGCUCAGAUCUCAGAGUGUCUGGAGGACAUUUCAUCUUGGAUGACAGCUCAGCAGCUGAAUCUUUAACCAGCAAAACUGAACUGCUGAUGAUCCCUGGUGAUUCAUCCCCUGCACAGGAUCUUGCGAUAUUGCUGAAAAACUCCAUGAUCUUGUCAGCACGCACAUCUGUUUCACCCGUCGCGGCGCGCACUUCCGGGCUCGCGACUUCACAGUCAUCAUGGAUGGAGUUCUUCCGGGCCCCCCCCGCUGUCACGCUGUCUUCAGGCCUUCCUCGCCAGAUGUUCUCUCUGCAUUGCUAGAUGCUGUCCAGCCUCUCUAAGGAGGAUUUGUCAGGUCUCUUUCUGGGGCCUGAGCACUUCUUCAGAAAGCGAACCAUUUGGAGACUUACUCAUGAGGAAAAUGAGGGUCAAGAAUCAGACCCAUGCAGACCUGGCACCUGCUUUGAGACCUGUGAUUUCAACUCCACCCCCUUUCCCUCUUCCUCCAGUCCCCUCUCCUCUCAACCUACCCACCACUCUCCAUCUUCUGACCCUUCUCCAAACCCAAAAGACCAGUUCCAGUAGGACCGUACAGCUUGUCAGUCCACAGUAUGUCAUAUACACAGACACAGAGUUGGAGCAAUCAAGAAGCACCUUUUUUGAAAAACAGCCAGCUGGACAAGAAGGAGACUAUAUCCUUUCCAAAUAUCUUAACUGUCAAUUAAACAGAAAUACAGUAACAAGCAUGAUUUUCAUUAAGAGACCAGCAGGGGAUGGCUUCCAGUAUCCAUGCACCCGUGAACUUACAGUGAUGGCGAAGCGUUUCAUAUAGUAGUGGAGCUGAGUGGGAACCUAUGAAGAAGCAGCUUUUAAAAAGGCUUCAGAAUGUGACAACCCCCAAAAAGAAACAGGGAGCAACCCCUUCAAGAAAGAGGCCAUGAAGCCUAGAGCAGCCAGGAGAUGUCUACUGAUGAGAUGAGUCUACUGAAAGUCCACUUCCUCAAAUUUGAUCUUGGAGAGAUCACCACAUUCUAGAUGCAGUAGAGGUUGAAGAGUUGAAAGGAACAACAUCAGAAACUACUGAGAGCCUACAGAAUCAGGCGAGACAUUAUACAACUCUACAGGAGAUGUACAAAACCAAGGCCAUCCCCAAAAAGAAGGAUGUUUCUCAGCUUCUGGACCUUCAAUUCCAUGCAAGAUGGGCUCUGAUUUCAUUGACUCUGAUGCCAUUAAGGAUACUUCAAGCUUAUCCCAGCUUCAGAGAACUAGAUCAUUAUCAUGGAUGAAUUGUGUCGGAUUCUCGAUCGAGGGAACUCUCAUUUCAUACCUGACCUGAAGACCUGCCAGGGGACCAUUUAUGAGAAGGCACAGUUUGAUGGAGUGUUCAAAAAGGACAGGAAAGCACCACAGGACAAAGUGAAGCACUCACUUGCCAUGAUAAAGGCUUUACCAGACAUGUUCCCAUCACCUGUGGCUCCACCCAAGAAGUUAGGACAUGCAAGUGAAGCUAUGUUUCACGUCCUUGAGGGGAGGCAGGUGAGGACCCAAAUGCAGAACACAGUCAAAGUUCAAAACUAGAGUCUUUAAUAAAGGAAGGCACUGAACAUGGUAGAGUUCUCAGACAACACCCAUAGAAUAACUGAAAACCAGGAUAAAGCAGGCUGGGCAGAAUCAGCAACAGAAACACCAAUAAUCCAAAUCCAGGGAACACGGAAAACACUGGGAAGGCAGGGACAGCAACUGAAUACAGUCCAAUAUCCAAAAUCCAGAGAACAGGUUAAACACGGAGCAGGCAGAGUCAGUAACAGAAUACAGUCCAAUAAUCCAAACUUUACAGAACGGGGUAAACACGGGGCAGGCAGAGUAUCAGCAACAGAAGCAAGGCAGAGACAAAUCGGGCAGACAGGAACAGAGCAGACGUCAACUUCAGGGACAGGCAGAGUCAAAUCCAGGCAGACUGGACCCGAAGAAAAAGGCAGGAUGACUUCUCGGAAGUACAAGGCUGACUGAAGAGACCAUCUGGCAAGGAGCAUGUGCAGCCCGCUGAUAUAGGACUGACGAGCAUAAAAUGGCGGAAACCGGAAGCGAGAUCACGGAACGUGGAAAUGCAUGCCUGACAGUAUCAGUCUAAAGAAGAUCCAAACACCUUUCUUCAGAUGAGACCACUCUUCAGCCCUGUCGUGAUUGUGUGCGAAACCAAUUGCUUACUGGCCAUUGGAAACAUGCCUGUGGUGACCUUCCUGAAAGAGGACAUCUAUGCUAGUAUGAUGUAUCUCAUGGCAUGUUAUUAUGCCUUUCACCUUACAUAUCCUAAGUGCAUUGCCCCACUGCUGUCUGUGCUCCAGACAGAAGUCCUCAUGGAUGCCAUCCAUGACAAGGACAUGAGUUCGUCAUGUAAAAAGUCUCAUUUUUCAUAGUUCAUUACUGACAAGGGCUGCACGGCACUAUUUUUUCAUUUCUGGUCCCCAUAACAGAACUUUGUGUAUUUGCCAAUUUAAUAACCUGUAAUACAUAGCAAGAGCAUUUGUUGUUUAUUAUAAUAAGGUUUAAAGCACUGUUACAUUGGUUAUCUUGAUAUAGAUCUUAAUUUUCAUUUAUUUGCCCACUAAUGGCCAUUAUGUUGGUUAUGCUACAUUUUGAAUGUUAGUUGGUGGGUUUUUUAUGUUUUCUGGCAUCUGAAACUACUGAGAGCCUAUAGAACCAGGCAAGAUAUUAUAAAACCAUAGAUAUGAUGUACAAAGCCAUGGCCAGAAAUGGCCUUGUGUUGUUUUGUUGCAUUCUUUGUUUCGCCCAUAUGCAGCUCAUGGAGUUCAUAAUAAAGAGGUGA